rnacentral:lncRNA from 1 species
CAUCAAAUCCUGCCUGCAGGAUAUUUAAAAGCUCGCUGCAGCCUGAGAGACAAAACCAGAAUCACAAUGUGGAUCCUGGGGACAGAAAUUACUGGAAAAAGUCCUGAAAUAAUGCUUUUUUUCCAGCCUUUCAUAUAGAGAGAUAUAUGUCACAACACAGUGAUUAACAGCUGAGUUGUGGAAGUUAUGGCAAGGAUUGGGAGUGAUUUUGUUCCCAGUGCUGAGAAAUAACAUCUCUUCAGCGUGGCAGCACUGCUUUGAUUGAUAUUGAAGGUAUUUUCUGAAAAUACUCAUUGACAUCCAAAAA